ensembl:lncRNA
UCUCCACCUCAGCUUCCCAAACCCUGGCCCAGCUGGAGGGCAGCACGAACAGAGCAGAGGAGAAGAGAAGGUGAGGCUGGCUGUGUCACGCAUCCCCAGCUGCCUCCAAGCCUCCGUGGCCCCCGAGGAUGGGUCCUGAGUUCCAUCCUUGGUACCAAAAUAAGAGAAAGCCUCCUUUGGCUGGGCGUGGUGGUGCACACCUAUAAUCCCAGCACUUGGGAGGCUGAGGAAGAAGGAUCACCCAAGGGCAAGGCCAGCCUGGGAUACACAGUAAGGUCAAGGCCAGCCUGAACUACCCUGAACUAGCGAGACCCUGUCUCAAAAAAAACCAAAAAAACCCUCCCUUUAGCCCCUGUGUGGAGAAGGAAAAUGGGACUAGGGGCCACCUGGUGAGAGGGAGCCGUCGCCAACAGGUGGGGGUGCUGAGAAGGGGCACAAGCAGCAGGCAGGGCUCUGGGCCACUUCCCAGGAGAAGGGGAAUGAGGCCCCUCCACCGUCCCUGUGAGCUGAGGUCGGCCUGACCCCCGUCUCACAACCUCAGAAGGCGCCAAGGCCUCCUCUCAACUACAGAACUUUCAGCGGCCUCAGUUCCAUGGUGGAUGUUCCUGUGCCCCUGUGCCCCCAGGACACAGCGUGCAGGCGUGGGCCUGGGUGUCUACGCCCUCUGGGGCAGGGCUUGCAUGUGGGCACCCAGCACGAGGCCAGACAGCAGGGUCCUGACACCAGGGCGCUUUGCCUGCAUGCCCAGCCACCUCCGCUCAGCUUGUGACAACAGACCAGGCCCUAAGAGGGGCGCCGAUGCUCCUGCUAAACAACAAAGGGAGGUUCACCCCUGACUGGCGGGGUCUCCAGCUCCUCCCUGUUCCUCCAGGGACUGCUCAGUGGUGGUGACGCUGCCGCUGCCGUUGCUGCCUGCAGCGGACGAGACCCUGGAUGUGCUCCAGGUAACCAGCUACCUGGUAGAGGAGAAGCUGCUGCGGCUGCUCCGAGAGCUGUACAGGGCCAACAUGCUGGCCGAGUGGUAUGGGCUCCGCCACCACCUGCUGGGGAGCCCCUUGGAGUGUGAGUCCUACCCUGGGAGCCCCUCUGCUCUUUGGGAGCCUGGAAGGCUCAGCAUCACUGUGCUAGGCCUCGAGGGCGCUUGUGGACACACAGCCUGACCUCUGUCCAGAAUUUAAGACCUGAUCCCAGGCCCAGCAGAGGGUGUGCAGAGCAGUUAGGGCUCCAGGCCAGCUCCCUCCCCGAGGGCCCUGCUGGGGAAGCAGAAGGCUGACCUCCAGUUGCAGCACAGCGGAAGGCGCUAAUUGAGUCCAGACCUGCUGUGAGGCUGGGCCUGCAGCCAACCACCCUCCUGGGACUGGGGCUGUUCUAGGAACCCUAGGGGAAGUUUGCAUCCUACUCAGGCUUGCUGGAUGACCCACAAGGCCACUGACCUCUCUAGGACUCAGUUUCUUCCUGUGUGAAGCAGAGGUGGUACCACGGCUGGGCUGCCCGGUGUGGGUAACGAGCAUGUGCCCCAAGCCCAGCCCCUUGAUACAGAGCCAGGAGUGGUUUAUCUGGGUGGGGUCAGCCUGAGGCUGGUACAGGCAGAAUCACCCUCAAGGUGGGGGCGCAUGACAUUGAGGUCCUGGCUCUCGGGUGCUAAGCCUGCCUGGCUCCUCUCCCCAGACCAUGCCGUGGUGGCCGGGGCCCGGCAUGUGGUGACCUUCGACGGUUGGGUGUGGGACCUCAGUGCCCACUGCAACAGCCUCCUGCUGGCCAAGGACUUUGCUCACAACAUGUUCUCUCUGCAGCUGCGCCAGGUGGGCUCAGGCAUCAGGGCCCUGCACAUAGAGCUGAACCAUACAAUCCUUGCCCUCGAGCCCAGCCUGCAGGCCUACGUGCUGUAUGACUCCUCCCUGCCGGGGCACAGCUGUCUGGACCCUGAUUUGCCGCCUGCCAAGAUGAGGAGGGAUGUGCCCAGGAUCGAGCUGACCAGUGAGGACGGUGUCUCCAUCUCCUGUGACGUGCACACUGGGCUCUGUGGCCUGACCUGGGCCUCUGGCAUCACAGUGGGUUUGCGUCCCAAGUAUCGGACCUGCCUGGAAAGGGCUCUUCCAGAGGCCUCCAGGGCUGAGGGAGACACGGGCCUCCGAGCAGACCCUAGCUUGCAGUGGGGGCCUCAGGCUCCUGGGGCACAUGGCCUACGUAGCCAGAGGAGCUCAGCCCAGAGGCUCUGAGUAGGGGGGAACCUCACUGGCCAGGCCCCUGCCGGGACAGUCCCUCCACAGGGGCUGACACCAGUGAAGGCCACAACCACUGGCCUCAUCUUUAGCGAAACACAUGAGCCCCACACUUCUUAGUCCUAGAAGUUCCCAUCCCAUUUACAGAUGAGCUGGCAAAGUCCCAGGCUGCUCCAGAGUGGGGUCGGCUCUCACGGGUGCUCUCCAGCAGCUGGUGACCAAGGAACACCGUGAUCGCCAGGACAGGGGCAGGAAGGGAACAGAGGCUGGCCUUCUCUCCCACUUCCUCCCCUCCGGCUGUGGCCACCCAGUGUGGGGUGGGUGGGGUUGUGCAGGCUCCUCCCACACGUACGGUGCUGGAGCCAAAGCAGGGACACGGCCUCUCCCAAAGCCCACCUGCCCCACAGGUGUCUCUGCUGGCCUGCUGGGAACCAACAACAACAGGUAGGUGACGAGCUCAUGCUGCCGGAUGGCACUCUGGCCCGUAGCCUUGGGGGAGCUGGCCCGGGCCUGGCAGGUGAGCCUCUGUAUCACCAGGCCUUGGGGCCGGGGUGCAGACCCAGGGCCAGGGGUCCUCUCGCUGGAAGCAUACCUGGGGCCCUCUGGUGUCUCUGCAGAGGCAGAUGCCCUGAGGGAGUCUGCCCAUGAGGGAAAGAGGCUGCAGGAGGCCCGAGUCUCGAGUCUUCCCCAAAGGUGGUUGGAGACCUCGGGGCUGCGGAGAGGACACAGCAGGCAUGCCCCGGACAGAGCUCCAUCUGCCAGGCCUUCUUCCAGGACCCCCACUCCAGCCUGGGGACCUGCUUCCGGCUGCUGAGUGCAAGGUCAAGCCUGGUGGGAGGCCCCUGGAGGGACCACAGGGCAAGAGAGAGCCUGGCCCAUCCUUCGGGCUGCCACCCAGGGUGCCCUGAGCGAGGGCAGUGACUGGGGCUGGCGCCGAUGUCAGGUGGACCCUGCACCAUUCCUCAGCCCCUGCCUCCAGGGCUCCUGGGACACCCAGGGGCUGCCACCUGCCUGCAACCUGGCGGCCGCCUACAUCCCCCUGUGUACUCGGGGUGCUGUGCCCCUGGGCCCUCCUCCAGUGUGGUGAGUGUGGCCCACAGCCACUCUGACCCUGGUCUGGCCUCCGCCUCCCUCCUAAAGGGAAACAGUUCUUUUCUCUUAGCCCUGACAAGGAGGACACAGACUCGAUUAUCGUACAGUGAGCUGGGAGUCCACACUAAAGGUAUGUGCAGAGCAACACUGGGCAGAGAGAAACAAGUCCAAAGCCUCCCCACACCGAGUGUCCAGAGCACCCUCGAAGUCACCUGGAAGCCAGCUGUGGUGGCACAUGCUUGUAAUCCCAGCACUGGGGAGGCUGGGGCAGGAAGAGCACCACAAGUUCGAGGCCAGCCUGGCCUACACAACCUGGAGACCCUGUCUCCAAAGGAGUCACCUGGAAACCUAUAACCACAGACUGGCCCUAGAGGAGCUGAAUGCCACCUUCAGUGCCUAGAAACCCACCUUCCACCAAUGUCACAAGCACAGACGACAGUGGGCAAACAGCAAGACAACACCCACCAAGUCCCCCAAUCACAAACGAAGCCAGAACAAGUGGCUGCAUAAGAUCAUUACAGACAUAAAAGAACAUUGAACAAUGAUAUAAGCAGAAUGCCCCAAAUGACUGAAGAACUAAUUUUCACAGACAUUUAAAACUUAACAGAUUUAAUGGCAGAGGAAAAAAAUUAAUGAACGGGAAAAUAUGACAGGGAAGACGGCAGGAGAGGACCCGUUGUGUCUAAAAGUUCCAGAUGAGAAAAUGCGGUAUUGGAGACAAGUCCCCUCCAAGUCAGGAAGCACAAGGAGCCCCAAACACUAGGACUCACUCCAUACCCAUCUGCAGACCUGCAGGAAAACUGGAGCGCGAGUCCCAGGGCCUCCAAGAGCACAGGCAGGGAAGAUCUUUCAUGGAAGGACAAGCAGAUGAGAGCUCUGCCACCAGCAAUGGCAGAAGGGAGCGGAGUAAACCCCUAACAGAGAGUGUCAAGUUGGGUUUUAGGCCAGUUCACUUCUUACUUAGGGUUGAGGACGAACUAAGCUCUCAGCAGUGGCUUCAGCCAACGCCGUUCCCAGUCCUGGACACUAGCCCAGCCCCACGUGUGGCUGCUUCCUGCUGCAUCGGCAGCGCCACAGAGGCCACACAGACCGUGUGGCCUGGAAAGCCCAAGUAUUUACUCUCUGGUCCUCGAUAGAAGAAGUUGGCUGAUCUCUGGUAUGCUCCAAAGAAAGCAGAAGGAAGAAAUUAAGUUUAUGAAACAGGAAAGACGUGACUAGAAAUGAGUAAAAGGGAAAAGACACAGUACUGGGAAUGAGCAGGGGUCAAAACCUCAGAUCCAAGACAGAAUUCCAGAAGGGACACGAUGACUUCAGAUACAUCAGAAGACAGAGAUUCCAUUACUGUCUACGACAUCGUUUGUCUACACCGAUUUGACAAUAUCAAACCUGAAGAAUCUCACAGCUAUUAAAACGAAUCUAUAGUUAAAAAUGUAACCAUAAAAAAGAGAAAAAAACAGGCCCUGCUCAAUGAGGGCUAUUAGACAUCACCCAAAGCAAGAUUCAUGAAAGGAAAAAAAUCAAGAAAUUGGACCUCAUCUAGGUUCAAAACUUGCUCUGUGAAGACCAUGUUAUCAGGAUGGAAGGGCAAGCUACUGAGCAAGAGAAAAGAACUCCAAAGCACAUCUAGCUAAGGACUUCACUAGAAUAUGUAGAGAGCCCUUAACACUUAACAGUGAAAAAUGAAUGUAAAUAGAAAAUGGGCCAGGGCCGGGGAUGUAGCUCCGUGGCACCACACCUGCCUGGCAAGUGUAAGGUCCUGAGUUUGAUUCCCAGUACAGCAAAAAAGGGAGGGGGCAAAAUACAGAGACAUUUCACCCAGGAAGAUAUAUGGACUGCAAAUAAGCAGGCAGAAAGUGGUCAACAGUCUGCCUUAUGGAAAGGAGGUAACACCACUCACCUAUUAGAACAGUUAAAGUAAUAGCGAUACCACCAAGUGCUGACGGGACAAUAUUGCUAGCAGGAAUGUAAACUGGUGAUACUCUGGAAAAGAGUGUGGCAGUUUCUUAGACUGAUGGAUGGACUACUUUGUUUUGUUUUGGUUUGGGUUCUUUUUGAAAUGGUGUCUCACUAUAUAGCCCAGGUUGGCCUGAAAUUCACAGCAAUCCUCCUGCCUCAGCCUCCUGAGUACUAGGAUUACAGGUAUGCACCUGGCUGAAUGUACUACUUUUGGUGCAGCAGUUACACUCUUGAACAGUCAUCCCAGAGAAAUUAGUGUAUCUUCACACAAUAAUUCAUAGCGCCAUUACCUGUAAUCGCGCAAACUUGGAAGCAACUAUAAUAUUCCACAGUAGGUGGAGGAUCCCACUCUGAUAUAUCCCUGCCUUAGACUACUUACUACUUAGCAUAAAAACGUUUACAUUAUUAAGCCAACCAACAGUGUUCUUGGAGCUCAAGUGCAAUCUUUCUUUUUUUUUUUUUGUACCGGGGAUCAAACUCAGGACCUCGCGCUUGCAAGGCAGGUAGCGGAACCACUGAGCUAAAACCCCAGCCCUCAAGUGCAAUCUUGAAAAUAGCCAAUCACAAAAGACACUGCCUGGUUCUCUUUAUAGGACACUCUCAGAAUGACAAACUGGUGGUUGCCUGGGUCAGGGGCAAUGGGACAAGAGUGUGACUAGGACGGGCAGCAGGAGAGGACUCUGGUCAAGGAAGAGCUCUGUAUCUUGUUCAUAGGAAAGGUAACAGUUUGUCACAGAACUAUGUACAUAGGUUUUACCAAGGCCAGUUUCUGGGCUUUGCUACUGCAGUGUAAUUGUGGUAAUGUAACUAUGGGGGUACAGGGGAACCUGGAUGGAGAAGCAUAGGACCUUUCUGUACUAUCUGUGCAAAUUCUUGUGAAUCUGUAAUUAUUUCCAAAUAAAAAUUACUAAAAAUUUAAAACACCAGGCUCAGAUAGCUUUAUAACAAGUUGUAAAACUGUUCCAUAAUGGCAAAAUGAAACCUGACUCAUAAGUUACUGUUAUCCUGGCACAUCAGAACCCUACAAGGGCAAUGCCAGGGAGGAAUAUUAGAAGCCAGCUGCCCACCUGAACAGAGAUAUUGCACAUAUUAAUGUUGAACUCAGAUGCUACGGUUACAUUAGCAAGCAAAACUCAAUGUGUUAAGACUAACAGAUAAAAACAAAUCAUCAUAAUCAACUCGGAGGCCGG